rnacentral:rRNA from 1 species
AGAGUUUGAUCCUGGCUCAGGAUGAACGCUAGCUACAGGCUUAACACAUGCAAGUCGAGGGGAAACGACAUCGAAAGCUUGCUUUUGAUGGGCGUCGACCGGCGCACGGGUGAGUAACGCGUAUCCAACCUGCCCACCACUUGGGGAUAACCUUGCGAAAGUAAGACUAAUACCCAAUGACGUCUCUAGAAGACAUCUGAAAGAGAUUAAAGAUUUAUCGGUGAUGGAUGGGGAUGCGUCUGAUUAGCUUGUUGGCGGGGUAACGGCCACUAAGGCUACGAUCAGUAGGGGUUCUGGAGAGGAAGGUCCCCCANACUUGGAACUGAGACACGGUCCAAACUCCUACGGGAGGCA